rnacentral:rRNA from 1 species
UACGUAGGGUGCAAGCGUUGUCCGGAAUUAUUGGGCGUAAAGAGCGUGUAGGCGGCCAUGUAGGUCCGGUGUGAAAACUCGAGGCUUAACCUCGAGAUGUCAUCGGAAACCAUUUGGCUAGAGUCCGGAAGAGGAGAGUGGAAUUCCUGGUGUAGCGGUGAAAUGCGCAGAUAUCAGGAAGAACACCGGUGGCGAAGGCGGGUCUCUGGGCCGAUACUGACGCUGAGGAGCGAAAGCGUGGGGAGCGAACAGG